rnacentral:rRNA from 1 species
GAUGAACGCUAGCGGCAGGCUUAACACAUGCAAGUCGAGGGGUAUAGUUCUUCGGAGCUAGAGACCGGCGCACGGGUGCGUAACGCGUAUGCAAUCUACCUUUUGCAGAGGGAUAGCCCAGAGAAAUUUGGAUUAAUACCUCAUGGUAUGUGAGAAUGGCAUCAUUUUCACAUUAAAGUCACAACGGCAAAAGAUGAGCAUGCGUCCCAUUAGCUAGCUGGUAAGGUAACGGCUUACCAAGGCAACGAUGGGUAGGGGUCCUGAGAGGGGGAUCCCCCAAACCGGUACAGGGACAAGGACCAGACUCCUACGGCGGGCAGCAGUGCGGAAUAUUGGACAAUGGGCGCAAGCCUGAUCCAGCCAUGCCGCGUGCAGGAUGACGGUCCUAUGGAUUGUAAACUGCUUUUGUACAGGAAGAAACACUGGUUCGUGAACCAGCUUGACGGUACUGUAAGAAUAAGGAUCGGCUAACUCCGUGCCAGCCGCCGCAGUAAUAC